rnacentral:rRNA from 1 species
AGUGAACGCUGGCGGUAGGCCUAACACAUGCAAGUCGAACGGCAGCACAGUAAGAGCUUGCUCUUACGGGUGGCGAGUGGCGGACGGGUGAGGAAUACAUCGGAAUCUACUUUUUCGUGGGGGAUAACGUAGGGAAACUUACGCUAAUACCGCAUACGACCUACGGGUGAAAGCAGGGGAUCUUCGGACCUUGCGCGAUUGAAUGAGCCGAUGUCGGAUUAGCUAGUUGGCGGGGUAAAGGCCCACCAAGGCGACGAUCCGUAGCUGGUCUGAGAGGAUGAUCAGCCACACUGGAACUGAGACACGGUCCAGACUCCUACGGGAGGCAGCAGUGGGGAAUAUUGGACAAUGGGCGCAAGCCUGAUCCAGCCAUACCGCGUGGGUGAAGAAGGACUUCGGGUUGUAAAGCCCUUUUGUUGGGAAAGAAAAGCAGCAGGUUAAUACCCCGCUGUCCUGACGGUACCCAAAGAAUAAGCACCGGCUAACUUCGUG